GACGAACGCUGGCGGCGUGCUUAACACAUGCAAGUCGAACGGAAAGGCCCUGCUUUUGUGGGGUGCUCGAGUGGCGAACGGGUGAGUAACACGUGAGUAACCUGCCCUUGACUUUGGGAUAACUUCAGGAAACUGGGGCUAAUACCGGAUAGGAGCUCCUGCUGCAUGGUGGGGGUUGGAAAGUUUCGGCGGUUGGGGAUGGACUCGCGGCUUAUUAGCUUGUUGGUGGGGUAGUGGCUUACCAAGGCUUUGACGGGUAGCCGGCCUGAGAGGGUGACCGGCCACAUUGGGACUGAGAUACGGCCCAGACUCCUACGGGAGGCAGCAGUGGGGAAUAUUGCACAAUGGGCGGAAGCCUGAUGCAGCAACGCCGCGUGCGGGAUGACGGCCUUCGGGUUGUAAACCGCUUUCGCCUGUGACGAAGCGUGAGUGACGGUAAUGGGUAAAGAUGCACCGGCUAACUACGUG
rnacentral:rRNA from 1 species